UAAAUAUCAAGAGAGCAGGGAGGGAACGAGCCCAGUGAUCUGCCGACAACCCUUCGACAAGCUCAGGGUCGACCCGCUUAUCGAAAAGGUGUCAAGUCUCGCCCGUUUGAGCGGGAAAGAUAUGAA
rnacentral:ncRNA from 2 species